rnacentral:rRNA from 1 species
AGCAAGUCGUACGCUUCUUUUUCCACCGGAGCUUGCUCCACCGGAAAAAGAAGAGUGGCGAACGGGUGAGUAACACGUGGGUAACCUGCCCAUCAGAAGGGGAUAACACUUGGAAACAGGUGCUAAUACCGUAUAACAAUCGAAACCGCAUGGUUUUGAUUUGAAAGGCGCUUUCGGGUGUCGCUGAUGGAUGGACCCGCGGUGCAUUAGCUAGUUGGUGAGGUAACGGCUCACCAAGGCCACGAUGCAUAGCCGACCUGAGAGGGUGAUCGGCCACAUUGGGACUGAGACACGGCCCAAACUCCUACGGGAGGCAGCAGUAGGGAAUCUUCGGCAAUGGACGAAAGUCUGACCGAGCAACGCCGCGUGAGUGAAGAAGGUUUUCGGAUCGUAAAACUCUGUUGUUAGAGAAGAACAAGGAUGAGAGUAACUGUUCAUCCCUUGACGGUAUCUAACCAGAAAGCCACGGCUAACUACGUGCCAGCAGCCGCGGUAAUACGUAGGUGGCAAGCGUUGUCCGGAUUUAUUGGGCGUAAAGCGAGCGCAGGCGGUUUCUUAAGUCUGAUGUGAAAGCCCCCGGCUCAACCGGGGAGGGUCAUUGGAAACUGGGAGACUUGAGUGCAGAAGAGGAGAGUGGAAUUCCAUGUGUAGCGGUGAAAUGCGUAGAUAUAUGGAGGAACACCAGUGGCGAAGGCGGCUCUCUGGUCUGUAACUGACGCUGAGGCUCGAAAGCGUGGGGAGCAAACAGGAUUAGAUACCCUGGUAGUCCACGCCGUAAACGAUGAGUGCUAAGUGUUGGAGGGUUUCCGCCCUUCAGUGCUGCAGCUAACGCAUUAAGCACUCCGCCUGGGGAGUACGACCGCAAGGUUGAAACUCAAAGGAAUUGACGGGGGCCCGCACAAGCGGUGGAGCAUGUGGUUUAAUUCGAAGCAACGCGAAGAACCUUACCAGGUCUUGACAUCCUUUGACCACUCUAGAGAUAGAGCUUCCCCUUCGGGGGCAAAGUGACAGGUGGUGCAUGGUUGUCGUCAGCUCGUGUCGUGAGAUGUUGGGUUAAGUCCCGCAACGAGCGCAACCCUUAUUGUUAGUUGCCAUCAUUCAGUUGGGCACUCUAGCAAGACUGCCGGUGACAAACCGGAGGAAGGUGGGGAUGACGUCAAAUCAUCAUGCCCCUUAUGACCUGGGCUACACACGUGCUACAAUGGGAAGUACAACGAGUCGCGAAGUCGCGAGGCUAAGCUAAUCUCUUAAAGCUUCUCUCAGUUCGGAUUGUAGGCUGCAACUCGCCUACAUGAAGCCGGAAUCGCUAGUAAUCGCGGAUCAGCACGCCGCGGUGAAUACGUUCCCGGGCCUUGUACACACCGCCCGUCACACCACGAGAGUUUGUAACACCCGAAGUCGGUGAGGUAACCUUUUGGAGCCAGCGUAG